rnacentral:snRNA from 1 species
AAGUGAUCAAUCUCUUCCAUAUUUCUCCUCCGGCUUCCUUCUUAUAUAGAAGGAAGCCACU